CCCAGACUCCUACGGGAGGCAGCAGUGGGGGAUAUUGCACAAUGGGGGGAACCCUGAUGCAGCGACGCCGCGUGGGUGAAGGAGCGUUUCGGCGCGUAAAGCCCUAUCGGCAGGGAAGAAGGAGGACGGUACCUGACUAAGAAGCCCCGGCUAACUACGUGCCAGCAGCCGCGGUAAUACGUAGGGGGCAAGCGUUAUCCGGAUUUACUGGGUGUAAAGGGGGCGCAGACGGCAGCGCAAGCCAGGAGUGAAAGCCCGGGGCCCAACCCCGGGACUGCUCUUGGAACUGCGCGGCUGGAGUGCAGGAGGGGCAGGCGGAAUUCCUGGUGUAGCGGUGAAAUGCGUAGAUAUCAGGAGGAACACCGGCGGCGAAGGCGGCCUGCUGGACCGUGACUGACGUUGAGGCUCGAGAGCGUGGGGAGCAAACAGGAUUAGAUACCCUUGUAU
rnacentral:rRNA from 1 species